CCUACGGGAGGCAGCAGUGGGGGAUAUUGCACAAUGGGGGGAACCCUGAUGCAGCGACGCCGCGUGGGCGAUGGCGUGCUUCGGCGUGUAAAGCCCUAUCAGCAGGGAAGAAAAUGACGGUACCUGACUAAGAAGCCCCGGCUAAAUACGUGACAGCAGCCGCGGUAAUACGUAUGGGGCAGCCGUUAUCCGGAUUUCUUGGUGGUAAAGGGGGGUUAGGGGGCCGGGCAAGUCGGAGGUGAAUGACCGGGGCCCAACCCCGGGGCUGCAUGGGGAACUGCCAGGCUGGAGAGCCGGAGAGGCAGGCGGAAUUCCUAGUGUAGCGGUGAAAUGCGUAGAGAUUAGGAGGAACACCAGUGGCGAAGGCGGCCUGCUGGACGGUGACUGACGCUGAGGCUCGAAAGCGUGGGGAGCAAACAGGAUUAGAUACCCUGGUAGUC
rnacentral:rRNA from 1 species